rnacentral:rRNA from 1 species
CCUACGGGAGGCAGCAGUGGGGAAUCUUGCACAAUGGAGGAAACUCUGAUGCAGCGAUGCCGCGUGAGUGAAGAAGGCCUUUGGGUUGUAAAGCUCUUUUGUAGGGGAAGAUAAUGACUGUACCCUAAGAAUAAGGUCCGGCUAACUUCGUGCCAGCAGCCGCGGUAAUACGAAGGGACCUAGCGUAGUUCGGAAUUACUGGGCGUAAAGCGCGCGUAGGCCGUUGAGUUAGUUAAUUGUGAAAUCCCAAAGCUUAACUUUGGAACUGCAAUUAAAACUGCUCGACUAGAGUUUGAUAGAGGAAAGCGGAAUACAUAGUGUAGAGGUGAAAUUCGUAGAUAUUAUGUAGAACACCAGUUGCGAAGGCGGCUUUCUGGAUCAACACUGACGCUGAGGCGCGAAAGUAUGGGUAGCAAAGAGGAUUAGAUACCCUCGUAGUCCAUACCAUAAACCGAUGAUUGCUAGAUGUUGGAAAUUUAUUUUCAGUAUCGCAGCUACGCAUAAGACAAUACCGCCGUCGGGUAGGUACGGACCGCCGAACGUUAAAACGUAACUAAAUAAGUAAUUAGUACGGCGUGAGACGUGCCGACGGACGACCGACCGAGGGAGGUAGGG